rnacentral:rRNA from 1 species
AUUGAACGCUGGCGGCAGGCCUAACACAUGCAAGUCGAACGAGUGGCGGACGGGUGAGUAAUGUCUGGGAAACUGCCCGAUGGAGGGGUAUCACUACUGGAAACGGUAGCUAAUACCGCAUACCAUCUGAUGUGCCAAGAUGGGAUUAGGUAGUAGGUGGGGUAACGGCUCACCUAGGCGACGAUCGCUAGCUGGUCUGAGAGGAUGACGAGCCACACUGUCACGGAGACACGGUCCAGCCUCUUAAGGGAGGCAGCAGUGGGGAAAAUUGCACAAGGGGCGCAAGCCUGAUGCAGCCAUGCCGCGUGUAUGAAGAAGGCCAUCGGGUUGUAAAGUACUUUCAGCGAGGAGGCGGUACUCGCAGAAGAAGCACCGGCUAACUCCGUGCCAGCAGCCGCGGUAAUAC